UAGGGAAUUUUGCGCAAUGGGGGAAACCCUGACGCAGCAACACCGCGUGAAUGUUAAGCCCUUCGGGGUGUAAAGUUCUGUCAGUGGGGACGAAAUAUGACUGUACCCACAAAGGAAGCACCGGCUAACUCCGUGCCAGCAGCCGCGGUAAUACGGGGGGUGCAAGCGUUGUCCGGAAUCAUUGGGCGUAAAGCGUUCGUAGGCGGUAAGUCAAGUCAGCUGUGAAAACUAUGGGCUCAACCCAUAGACUGCAGUUGAAACUGAUUUUCUUGAGUGAAGUAGAGGUAGGCGGAAUUCCGAGUGUAGCGGUGAAAUGCGUAGAUAUUCGGAGGAACACCAGUGGCGAAGGCGGCCUACUGGGCUUUAACUGACGCUGAGGCUCGAAAGUGUGGGGAGCAAACA
rnacentral:rRNA from 1 species